UACUCCAGACUAUAUUUAAAAUGGUUUCAAGACCAGCGUUGACUACCUACCUCUCCUGACUACCUACCUCUCCUGGUUUACCUACCUCUCCUGGCUUCCCCAGGGAAAUUGGCUUUCCCAAUGACUACCAGCAUCUUCUGCCUAAACUGAAGCAUGGAGAGCUCAGGCGAAAGAGAAAUGUAUUUCUCAUACAUGGGAAAGAAUGAAGAGCUGUGUACUUCCCAAGGGACGCCGCUGCCCGAGCAAAGCCUGAAGAUUUUCAGUUGUGGUUGUAUCCAGGAGAUCAGCCUGUACUCUUCCUGUGAAGGUACCUUGAUGCCCAAGAAUACAGAUGCCACCUGGGACAACUCACCUCUGGAAACAUAUUGACUUUAUCCCUGGCACUCGCAUUCACAAUUUGGCUUUAUUUUUAAGCAAAAACACCUCUUUAAAAAACACAAACCCCAAAUUAUUGGUAGUCUCGUUUUCAGCGUUUUGCUAUUUCAGUGGAAGUCCUGAUUCCCUCCUGCCUUUUCUAAAUUGUCCUUUUCACUCAUUUCUCCUCCACACACUUCCAUUUGGUCAUCCACCCUCUCUAUUCUCUUUUUUCACAUUUUCCACUUUUUUGGUUGCCUCUACCUCUGAAAAAGCUUGUGAUGAAGGAUGGAAAGAGGUGAUAGAGAAGUGAGAAUGAGACACAGAGGCAUAAUGGAAAGAAAUGGGACAAAGGUACCCCACUCUCCCCAACCUGGAGUCCCACAAAACGGUCUUAACUUCAGCAAUUUUCACCUCUUUUUGCUGCCUCUUUGAUACAUUUUCAAGGAGAUUCCCAAUCUCCCCCAAAUCAAGGCUGUAUCUUCCAAAGUGUUGAAGCAUAAAGCAAUCCACUCCAACAGAUAAUCCACUGUAUAAAAUUUUCUAAUUUGUAUCAGAAUGUCCCUGGAAUCUGUAUAAUGAAUUCAUUGUUCCCAGAGUCACUUGACCAACAUUUUGGCUGAUUAUCUGGCAAGAUGCCCUGGUCAUAUAAAGUCAAACGAGGUUUGUGGGAUGUAAUUUCCUUGUAUAAACAACAUAUUCUAUACUCUGAUAAAUAACCCCAGAAUGAUUUAUUGUUUUACACAGGUACUUAAUUCCCGAUGCCUCCCACUAAGCCACACCCCUUGUGUCAAUCCUAAUUUUAAUUUUAAAUUAAACACUGCAAACGGUCAUAUAUUGGAUAUAAGAGAGCAGGACCAGUCUAACGAAUUAGUUAUUAGAAGGAGGAGCAUGAGGAAUAUGUGUUAGAAUUUCUCGUCAAUUCCUAUCUACAAGUGAUCAUCUUAUCCAUCUAACUCAUUUUACAGAUGAGAAAAUUGAGGCCCAGGGGUGUGGUAAAAUGCACCCAAAGUUGCACAUGAGUUGGGGGGAUGUCCAGUCUCCCCUCUGGGCUUCUGUGUAUAUAGCACUUUCUGCCUGGAGACUAUUCGAAAUGGCCAACACUCACCCCCACACUCUCUUUGUCCUUCCUAGUGUGGUGCUCACUUCUCUUGGAAUAAUUUCUGUGAAAAGCCCCAAACACAUAAGCUUGAAGAACACCCUACACUUACCUCUCUCUGUGACUUACCACCAAGUGGUGCUUUGGGGUUAUUUACUCGUUUGUCUCUCUCUGAACCAUAAACCCUUUCCUUACUUCUGUGACUCAGAGCUUCCGGAGUGCCUGGAGCUUAAUAGAUGCUGAAUAAGCAUUUGUCGAGGGAUCCACCCAGGUCUCUUACUCUCUCAGACCACCUCGCUUACCUUUAUACCAGGAUAUGCAAAACGUAGAGGGCGCUUGGAAACAGAGCUUUCUUUCUCCCAGACUUGUGGUAAGUGAGCUGCCUUUAUUCCAAAACAGUCAAAAGCCAACCACAAAGAUCCAUCAGUCGAUGGCUUAUUCUCUUUGGUUCAAUUUAAUUCACUUUGAAUGACUGUCCAUUACAUACGAGGCUCUGUGAUGCCUACUUGGAAAUACGAAGGAUGUUUGAGAUGCAAAUGAUUUCAUGGACUAGCUAAGCCUGAGGACCACAGAGGAGAAACCAUGCCCCAGUGUGGCAAGCGCUUUCGAAUGCCGUCAGAACAUUUAAGAGCUAAUCUGGACUUGCUCUUGACGAGCAAGGUUUGCACAGUCCAAGGAGCCAGGCGAAGGACCAUAACUUCAGGAAAGUUGGCUAAAAGGAUUUGACAUCACAUCUAGAGUCUAGCUGAUUUCACAGAAAAAUACUGGAUGGUGACUUUCCUAUCAUAUCAAGAAAAAAUUCUGGCAACACAAUGGUCACUGGAGAAGCAGGUUGGGGCUAUUGGUGAUGGUGGUAAGGAUUGUGGAGUUAUCUGCUCUGGCAAUGAGAUGUGAACCAUUUAUAUUCACGGUUCCCAAUGUUCAUAUGUCUUUAAAUUUAGUUGUGGGGAAAAUGGCAGUCUAAAACAUUGUUGAUGAAGAGAAGAUAUGCAUCGCUACACAUUGUCAGCUUAGCAAAACAAUCCACCACAAAUGAAAUGAAUAAUAAUGAAACUAAAGAAACUGUAAUUUGUGGUUAAAAGCAACACCACCAGCAACUGAAAAAUAUAACUUGGGCAGAGUCCCCUCAGUCACCUAACAGCCAUUCAUGCUUCCUCCUUCCUAACAGAGCCUAGGAUUUGUUAAGGAAUAUAUUCUCCUCUACGUAGCCAAGUGUGUUAGGAGAGGCUGGCCCAUUCUUAGCUUCAGCUUUUUAUAAAGGUAGAUUCUGGUUUGUCUACAUUCAGUUCAACUUUCCUUGCUGGUGGUUGGAUUAGGCACUAGCCAGUGACAAAAGCUCUUCUGAACACGGCUGUGUCAGAAUGCAGUGCCUGGAAUUGGAACCCUGAGAGAUGCUAGCCUGGGGACAAAACUUAUGCAGAAAGGGGAGGAGCUAAUAAUAACCAUCCUUACUGUUUAAGCCAUUUGAGUCAGGUUUCUGUGAUUUGUUGCCAAAACUUUCCUGAUACAAUGACACAUCUAGAGUGAUAAUGCACUCACAACAAAAUCCCCUUAGGGAGGCUUUGCAACAUUACAAGCAUUAAAAGAGAGGUCAAGCUUUUUAGAGGAAUUCUGAACAAGAGUCUUUGAUAAACUCUAGAAACUGCUGAGGGUAGUUGGUGAAUACCAAGUUUUAUUAAUUCUGCUAACUCCUUUGUUAAGUUACUACCAAGGAACCCUUUCAAGUGUAUGUAAGAUGAAGGUUUGAGAACCAUCAGAAGGGUGCCCAAUUUGGAUCACCUCUUAGCAGAGGGUGGAGUCCAAACAACAUUACAAAACAAA